rnacentral:rRNA from 1 species
CAGUCGCCGCGGUAAUACGUAGGGUGCAAGCGUUAAUCGGAAUUACUGGGCGUAAAGCGUGCGUAGGCGGUGAGUUAAGUCUGCUGUGAAAUCCCCGGGCUCAACCUGGGAAUGGCAGUGGAUACUGGCUCGCUAGAGUGUGUCAGAGGAUGGUGGAAUUCCCGGUGUAGCGGUGAAAUGCGUAGAGAUCGGGAGGAACAUCAGUGGCGAAGGCGGCCAUCUGGGACAACACUGACGCUGAGGCACGAAAGCGUGGGGAGCAAACAGGAUUAGAUACCCCCGUAGUCCCUGUCUCUUAUAC